UACGAGAGGCCCAAACGUUAUUCGGAAUUACUGGGCGUAAAGCGUGUGUAGGCGGCCGCGUAAGUCGGAUGUGAAAGCCCUGGGCUCAACCCAGGAAGUGCACUCGAUACUGCGUGGCUCGAGUACUGGAGAGGUUGGUGGAAUUCUCGGUGUAGAGGUGAAAUUCGUAGAUAUCGAGAGGAACACCGGUGGCGAAGGCGGCCAACUGGACAGAUACUGACGCUGAGACACGAAAGCGUGGGGAGCAAACAGG
rnacentral:rRNA from 1 species